CGGGGACGGGGGUGGGGGGGGGGAGUCUCGGUUGCCAGGCGCUCCCUGCAGGCUCUGAGCACCUCCACGAAGGGAAGAGGGAAGAGAGACCUCCCGGCGGGUGUGCGCAGGCGCGCGCGUCGGGUCAGGCUGCGGCUGUCAGCGGUGAUGGGUGCCAGAGACAGGCGCUACUGUGGGGCAGAUUGAGUUUCUCAAACGAAACCUCGCGCCCUGCCCCUGCCGCCGCCGCCGCCGCCGCCCUCCUCUCUCCAGUAGCGACGCCCUUCCAAACCAACAGCGAAGAAACCAAGGAAAAAACCCUCCAAUCGGCCACAGAUUCUGAGGCGGAGACCCCGGGAGGGGAAAGGUGAAGCCCAGGAGCGUUCUGUGACCCGCCCCACCUCCCGCCAGUCUCUCUCGGAGCCUCUCGGCGGUUCCACACCCUUUGCUCAGCGGUCGGCGGGAAGAAAAGGGAGGAGACGGAACUGGGCAUGUCUAGUCUAGUGAAGAGAAGGACCAGGGGAGACAUGAUAGCUAUCUUCCAAUACUUGAGGGUCUGCCUCAGAGAGGAGGGGGUCAAGCUGUUUUCCAAAGCACCUGAAGGCCAGAAGGAAUAAUGGAUGGAAACUGACCAAGGAGAGAUUCAACCUAGAAAUGAGGAGGAACUUUCUGACAGUGAGAACAAUCAACCAAUGGAACAGAAGUUGCCUUCGGAAGUUGUGGGAGCUUCGUCACCUGAGACUUUCAAGAAAAGAUUGGACUGCCAUUUGUCAGAAAUGGUGUAGGGUCUCCUGCUUGAGCGGGGUGGGGUGGGGGUUUGGACUAGAUGACCUAUAAGGUCCCUUCCAACUCUGUUAAUCUGUUUAAAAUAUCAUGAAUGAGAUUUACCCAUCAAAAUUGAUCAAUUGAGAAUAAAGAUGGUCCUGUUGGACGGUUUCUUUUAA